AUAGCGUAUAUUAAAGUUGUUGCCGUUAAAAAGCUCGUAGUUGAACCUUGGACCGGGCCGAUCUGUCCUCCUAACCGAGCGUACGGAUUCGGUCGGGUCUUUCCUUCUGGGGAACCCGAUGCCCUUUACUGGGUGUCGCGGGGAACCAGGACUUUUACCUUGAAAAAAUUAGAGUGUUCAAAGCAGGCCUUUGCUCGAAUACAUUAGCAUGGAAUAAUAGAAUAGGACAUCGGUUCUAUUUUGUUGGUUUCUAGGACCGCUGUAAUGAUUAAUAGGGAUAGUCGGGGGCGUCCGUAUUCAAUUGUCAGAGGUGAAAUUCUUGGAUUUAUUGAAGACGAACUACUG
rnacentral:rRNA from 1 species